UACGUAGGGGGCAAGCGUUGUCCGGAUUUACUGGGCGUAAAGAGCGUGUAGGUGGCCAAACAGGUCCGUUGUGAAAACUGGAGGCUCAACCUCCAGACGUCGACGGAAACCGUGUGGCUAGAGUCCGGAAGAGGAGAGUGGAAUUCCUGGUGUAGCGGUGAAAUGCGCAGAUAUCAGGAAGAACACCAAUGGCGAAGGCAGCUCUCUGGGACGGUACUGACGCUGAGACGCGAAAGCGUGGGGAGCGAACAGG
rnacentral:rRNA from 1 species